GGGAGGCCUUUUUUGUCCUCAACACUGAAGUUAUCUUGGAGUUCUGUUAAAUUGUGAGUCAACAGAUUACUAGUUCAGGCUCUUAAUAUUUCACAUUUAAUGAGAAUUUUUCCUACAGGUAAAUUGCAUGACUUUAAAAUACUGAAGCAUGUCUUACAAGUGUACUUAAUACCCUACAAUUUGUUUAGUCCUUGUUAUUUCUAACUUGGGGUCUUUCCACUAUUUCCGACACUGAGCUGUAACUCUUUAACCUGAGUGUUUCUUUCUUUGUUAUUAGUAGUCUCUCCCCCACUGGGUAGCAGGGUGUUUUGUCUCUGGACUUCUGUUUCAGGAACUUAGAUUCUGUCUUUCAGUGAACCCUGUUAUUUUCCACUAUAG
rnacentral:lncRNA from 1 species